rnacentral:rRNA from 1 species
AAUGGGGGCAACCCUGAUCCAGCCAUGCCGCGUGAGUGAAGAAGGCCUUCGGGUUGUAAAGCUCUUUCGGCCGGGAAGAAAUCGCAUCUCCUAAUACGGGGUGUGGAUGACGGUACCGGAAGAAGAAGCACCGGCUAACUACGUGCCAGCAGCCGCGGUAAUACGUAGGGNGCGAGCGUUAAUCGGAAUUACUGGGCGUAAAGCGUGCGCAGGCGGCUCACUAAGACAGAUGUGAAAUCCCCGGGCUCAACCUGGGAAUGGCGCUUGUGACUGUGUGGCUUGAGUUCGGCAGAGGGGGGUGGAAUUCCACGUGUAGCAGUGAAAUGCGUAGAGAUGUGGAGGAACACCGAUGGCGAAGGCAGCCCCCUGGGCCGCGACUGACGCUCAUGCACGAAAGCGUGGGGAGCAAA